AAAACGCUCAAAACAGCUGUGUGGAAACUACAGCGGCACUGUUUAACCCGUAAUACUAAGCCUUGUGAAGUAAAGUUAGGUGUAUAAAAAGCUUUGUAAAACAAAAACAUGCGUUGACUGGUUAACUGUCGCAAAUGUACUAAAACAGGACAAUAUUACCAAAGCAUUUCGGCUCAUUUUGUAUCAGUGUCUACUAGCAUAAGUAACACUCAAAAUGAGCCCGCAGCAAGAGUGCUUUAUGGUCCAAACUGACAGGCCGGCAUUGAUGCCAGGCGUGCAGUUUCCUCAUCAACCUGUGGAGGGACAAAGGGGUCAGGGGAGAGACAAAGACAGAGAUAGGGGCCCAUACCAGUCAGUAAAGGAUUUUAACUGCUGUAAUCGGAGGUCGAGCAGGGGGAGAGAAAGAGGGCAGCCAUCUUGGAUAUCUCAUCUUCGCGUGACAAGAUAGAUUACAGACACAUUCCUCUGACUUAAGCAUUUCACGUUCCCUGGCAAACAUUAUUACAGGUAAUAUUAUCUACUUGGUGAAUCUUUAAUGAUUCCCCUGGGAAUAACAGAGGAACAAAAAAAAACUAAAAAAAUUAGCUGAUGGUUUUGCUAUGAAGUGAUGAAUUGCACUGGUAAUUCAUUUUUCGUGGUCAAGUGUGUGUGGUAUUACGACUGAAAUAAGACCAGUUACUGCUCAUCCACAUGUCACAGAUUUACUUGUUUGGUGCUUUAAAAUGGGUCAUAUAGGCCAGUUAAUUUUUUCACCAGAAUCUUUUAAUAUGUUUAGGGCAAAGUGGUUAUUUACCUCUGUCAUAUUCCCUAAACACAGCUUUUAAGCCUUGUGGUUACAUAGACACAAUCCACAUGUACCUUGUUACCAGUGCCCAUUGCUAAUGACCGCUAACUGGUAAAAAUGUUUGUUUCAUGUGAUGGAAGUACAUAUUUCUCCCUGACAUUGUGGAAUAAAAGUAUUUUGAAAAUAACUUGAUUACAAAAUAUCAUAGUUUUGUAAACACAUAUGAAUUGCAACUGGUUUUAUACACAAUGUUGUGUAUUUUAGAAUUUGGAGCAUUCAGUCAGCUGAUUGCACUGUUCAAUGCCAGCUGUGUUAUAGGAACAGUACAAGAGGAACAUACACAGAUAAGAGUAUUGUUUUGUAGUCUGUAAAUCUAGCAACUGCCCGAUCAGGGAAAAUGAACACAUUUUUUUCCAGCACUGAUGAGGGCAAUAAGGCAAAGAGUGAGCCAUCUUGCUUCCUUUUACACACAGUACACACAGUACACAGUACUGAUUGAGCACUUGUGUGAUUAUGGCGGUGGGUCACGUUCAAGUUUAUAAGCUUUGAGAGCAAGGUGCAAAAAUACACAUCUUGCCUUCCUAUUUGCAUUUUUCUUAUUUGACAACCGGCUGCAGUGGAUAAACAUUAACAUUGAAUCCUUUGUGUGAACAGACUACGUCCAUGUGAGCCUGAGGGUGUAGCCAAUUCAUUGCAUUUGCCUGGCAAGCAACCAUAUAAACUGGUAACAGGCAAGUUUAAAAUUCCUAGUGAUUUGGGUAAAACUCCCUGUAUGAUCUGUGAGUCUUCCUGUACAUGGUUCUCGAAGUUUGUCAGCCACAUUCAUCAGGCUGAUAUAUGUAAAGUCAAGUUGACCUUGAUAAAGGGAAUUUAUUUGCUGGUAGUUGGUGGCAUUUUGAGUUCUGUAAUUACUGUAUUUGUAAGUGUAAGCACAAGUUAAGUUCUUGCUUUAGACAUGUUGUUGUUCAACCCUGCAUGACGGUCAGUCUUUGUGGUAUUUUUUGUGACCCUCUACUGUGAUUGAACGACUGGGUGACAGUGACAAGCAUAAGCGGCAGUCUAUUAAAGUAAAAAAUAAACACAGAUUGUGCAGUGCUCAGUGCAUAUCGACGCUCAGCGACUCCUCAUGCUGCUGCCGUUUGUAGCAUAGUGUAAAACACAGCGCUCCCAUAGCAAACGAUUUGAUGCAAAAUUUGCAAUCCUUAGGAGAAAAAAAGGCUGCCAGGUGGAGUGUAGUACUUAGUUAGUAGGCAUUAUUUUACUCGACCAAGAUUUUCUUUGGUUGACUGUAGCCCUACAUGGUAGACUGGAUAGCCUAUUUUAUGUCUGAGUGGACUUCUUCUUGAAUCAACUAUAAACAGAACCACAACCUGUUAACUCAUUUUCCAAUGCAUAGCUUUAUGUUUACUAAAACCUUUGCAUAUGGUUUCCUAGGCAUGUAAUACAUAAACCUCUGGAUAGUCUGGCCACAUACUGUUAUGUUGAGGUAGGCGUAGAAAUACCAUAUCAAUUAAAUUGUAACAUCCUCUGUUAUUUGUUUAAUUUGCUAAUACUGUUUUUUGUCUAGACUUGGUAUUGUACUAACAGUCAAUUACAUAAGUGCAAGCAGUACUAUAAAUACAAAUAUUUUACCAUUUGUAGUGUUCAAGCUUUGUAGAUUAAAAGUGGAAUGUAGGUAACAAAAACAUUACAGUAUGCUCGUUAAUCUGUUUACGUUCACCAAAUCUCAAGCAAACACUGUACAUAAAUACAAAUCUAUAAAUAU